UACGGAAGGGGCGAGCGUUGUUCGGAAUUACUGGGCGUAAAGAGCGCGUAGGAGGCUUACCAAGUUGGGUGUGAAAUCCCGGAGCUCAACUACGGAACUGCCUUCAAAACUGGUAGGCUCGAGUCCGGAAGAGGGGCGUGGAAUUCCCAGUGUAGAGGUGAAAUUCGUAGAUAUCGGGAAGAACACCGGUGGCGAAGGCGGCGCUCUGGUCCAGUACUGACGCUGAGGUGCGAAAGCGUGGGGAGCAAACAGG
rnacentral:rRNA from 1 species